GCAUCCUCUUCGCAACUUCAACACAGCCGCCAUAGCGAGCCACAAAAUGGAGGAGACGCAACUUCCGGUAGGAAACCCGCUCUUUCCGGAGGUGAGAGUGGUAGAUUCGCCACGUCCGCAAGCUGUUUGAGCCGCUAAAAAAUUAAGUAGAUGUUAGUUUUCGUUGUCCAACUUGAUCUUGCGAUACUUCUACUGUCGUUGGAGGGCGGCCGCCAGUUCUGAACAUGGACCCAGGGCCUCACCAUUGCUAGGCGACUCGAGUUAGAUCAAGUCCGACUGGAUGGAAGGAGAGAAGAACUUCUCAGCCACGGACACCCCCCUCCCUCCCCAAAUAACUUAGGUUUUUAAAAAGUGGAUAGUGAUUUAGAAAAACAACUGAUGUUGACCUCUGGCCUCCAUAUGCAUUUGUGUACACACGUGCACACACACAUACAGACAUGUACAUAGUACACCAGAACGAAUACUAAGUAAAAUAGUUAUGAUGUGGAGAAGGUUGCUUUGCAGAAAUGUUUGUGUCUACUUUUGAAACAGUUGGGAAAAAAAAAAAAGAAACGGUUGGAAUUUUUGUCUUAACCUCAAGCCAAAAUUCAUUUAAUGAUUUUUUUUUAAUGUAAAGUAACUCAGCGCACACACACACACACCAGCAGAGAUGUCUCAGUUGAUAAGUGCUUGCCUUACGCAGGGGAAAGUUACAAACUAAUAUAGAAAUCUCAACAGAAACUGCCCUUCCUCUGUGAUGUGCAGCUUCCCAUAGCUGUGAUAAAAUGCCUUUGUAAGGAAUUAUGGGAGGGAAUGGCAGGAACUCAAGCCAGGCAGGGACGGAAACAGAGAUGGUGGAGAGAUCGACAAAAACUCGGACAGAUCCAGACCCUAAAUGCCUAAUAACAGCUAAAGCUACAGGAACGAAGACCCCAAACUAGCCCCUGUGAACUACGAGAGGGUGACAAGGAGAGUCCUCAGCACCGGCUCCACCCUCUCCAGCCCUGAGUGAGGACAAAGGC
rnacentral:lncRNA from 1 species